CCGAGCCCAAAUUCCGAAAACGCCACUGGUAUCGCCCAAAUUCUUCAUAGGAUGUGGGUUCGGAGUUUGAAUCGAACUGGUAGAUGCAACAGCUCCGAGUAUUCAGUCCUCCCUCUUCUACAAGCGGAUUCCGAUUCUUCAUUGGAUGUGGGUUCGGAGUUUGAAUCGAACUGGUCGCGCUCGUCUUCCUCGUCCAAGAUCGAGAGGUCGGGGAGGACUUCUGCGAAUCAGCUCUCGCGACGGAGGACAGGAGAGGAGAGGCGACGGCUUGAGAACUCAUCCACCUCUCUCCGGUUAUGACCAGGCAACCACGAGCGGUGCCUCUGCCGAUAUAGUCCUUCCCCUUCUUUUUUUUUUGCGGCGGAGCUCCUCCUCCUUCGACUACCACAAUCAGACGCCGCCCUGCCGGUCCUCACCGACGACCAUGCCAGCACCAGAUCCGCCGCCACCAGGUUAGCCUAGCCCCUCUUGUUCUUGUACUCACCACCAUUGAUGUUCUUCAUGCUGACCUCGUGAUUAACUUGAUGUCCCAGAUCCACAAACAACAAAGCGCAUCACGUAAUGACAUCAGGGUACCAAGAUCUGUAGCGGUAGCGUGUUCAACCUCAGCAAGUUCUUGAAGAAUCUCCUUGUUGGAGGAAGUAGCUCGAACAGUUGCAGGUAUGCAAGAAAAAACAUUCUUGUUGAACUUGCAACCGGAGCAGAUAGAAGAAGCUCACGGCUUGAGUAGGUGGUCAGGGAGUAGAUGCUGGUGAAGUGGUGAUUCCCUAGGCUGAGCUCAUAGAGGUUGGAGGCGAACCGUGCUGGAGUGGGAGCAGGGGCUUGGGGUCGGCAGCGACGGGGUCGUCCG